AGAGUUUGAUCAUGGCUCAGGACGAACGCUGGCGGCGUGCCUAACACAUGCAAGUCGAACGGAGAUAUGCGAACGAGGCCUUCGGGCGGAGAUUGCAUAUUUUAGUGGCGGACGGGCGAGUAACGCGUGAGCAACCUGCCCUUCAGAGGGGGAUAACGGCUGGAAACGGCCGCUAAUACCGCAUGACAUAUACACAAAGCAUCUUGAGUAUAUCAAAGGAGUAAUCCGCUGAAGGAUGGGCUCGCGUCCGAUUAGCUAGUUGGUGAGGUAAUGGCUCACCAAGGCGACGAUCGGUAGCCGAACUGAGAGGUUGAUCGGCCGCAUUGGGACUGAGACACGGCCCAGACUCCUACGGGAGGCAGCAGUGGGGGAUAUUGCACAAUGGAGGGAACUCUGAUGCAGCGACGCCGCGUGGGGGAAGAAGGUCUUCGGAUUGUAAACCUCAGUAGUCAGGGAAGAAAGAAAUGACGGUACCUGAAGAGUAAGCUCCGGCUAACUACGUGCCAGCAGCCGCGGUAAUACGUAGGGAGCGAGCGUUGUCCGGAAUUACUGGGUGUAAAGGGUGCGUAGGCGGGUCAGCAAGUCAGGCGUGAAAUACCGGGGCUCAACUCCGGGGCUGCGCUUGAAACUGUUGGUCUUGAGUGAAGUAGAGGCAGGCGGAAUUCCUAGUGUAGCGGUGAAAUGCGUAGAUAUUAGGAGGAACACCAGUGGCGAAGGCGGCCUGCUGGGCUUUAACUGACGCUGAUGCACGAAAGCAUGGGGGAGCAAACAGGAUUAGGAUACCCUGGUAGUCCAUGCCGUAAACGAUGAUAGCUAGGUGUGGGGGGGUUAUAUGCCAUCCGUGCCGGAGUUAACACAAAUAAGCUAUCCACCUGGGGGAGUACGGCCGCAAGGCUAA
rnacentral:rRNA from 1 species